UACGUAGGGUGCAAGCGUUGUCCGGAAUUAUUGGGCGUAAAGAGCUCGUAGGCGGUUUGUCGCGUCGGCUGUGAAAACCUGGGGCUCAACCCCGGGCCUGCAGCCGAUACGGGCAAACUAGAAUUCGGUAGGGGAGACUGGAAUUCCUGGUGUAGCGGUGAAAUGCGCAGAUAUCGGGAGGAACACCGGUGGCGAAGGCGGUUCUCUGGGCCUUACCUGACGCUGAGGAGCGAAAGCGUGGGGAGCGAACAGG
rnacentral:rRNA from 1 species